rnacentral:rRNA from 1 species
GGAAUAUUGCACAAUGGGCGCAAGCCUGAUGCAGCCAUGCCGCGUGUAUGAAGAAGGCCUUCGGGUUGUAAAGUACUUUCAGCAGUGAGGAAGGCGGAUGUGUUAAUAGCGCAUUCGUUUGACGUUAGCUGCAGAAGAAGCACCGGCUAACUCCGUGCCAGCAGCCGCGGUAAUACGGAGGGUGCGAGCGUUAAUCGGAGUUACUGGGCGUAAAGCGCAUGCAAGUGGUUUGUUAAGUCAGAUGUGAAAGCCCGGGGCUCAACCUCGGAAUUGCAUUUGAAACUGGCAGGCUAGAGUACUGUAGAGGGGGGUAGAAUUUCAGGUGUAGCGGUGAAAUGCGUAGAGAUCUGAAGGAAUACCGGUGGCGAAGGCGGCCCCCUGGACAGAUACUGACGCUCAGAUGCGAAAGCGUGGGGAGUA